ensembl:lncRNA
CGGAACGCCAGGCCCGGACUGAACGCCAGCCUGUCUGCUCCGGGACCGCGUUCUCGCCAGGCAGGUUACACAACAGCAGACUGCAACGGAAUCAGGUUCCACCGAAGGAAAUCACCGCCUUCAUGGCGCUUCGAUUACACCUGAGAUAAGAGGAGGGGAAGGCAAGAAGAUAGCACAGCCUGCCGGGCAGUGGAGGUGCUGGGCCGCGAAAAUGGCUUUAGUCUGUGCAGGGACCGGAAAAGUAAGGAGUAUUCUUCCUGUUUCGAGGACGAGGAAUCCCAGGCUUAGGGGAGAUUGGUCAACGACCUUUGAAUUGAGGCCAUUCGACUUCAGAGGCCAGGUUUCUAAACCUGGUCCUGCUACCCCUGAGCUGUAGAAACUGGACCAAGGUGGCUCGGGUGUGUUGUGACUGGGUGCUGUUCAUUUGUAGAUGGUUGAGGUUACAAGAAUAGGAAGUCCUCUCCCAGAAUACUCCCCAUGACAGAUGGCAGAAUUACACCAGGAGAGACCCAGAAGAGGAACACAAGCAAGGGCGCCACAGGACGAUGUUUUCCUGCCUCCUCUUAAUUGCUGCUGGGAGAGUCCAGUCUUGAAUUAGUAUCUAAUCUGGACCGCUUUCCUUAAAGCUGAUUACUUGGAGGCCAGAAGAUGGCAGCUCUGGAGAACUACUGACAUGGCAUCUGAGCAUUUCUUUACUGAGGUGGCAUACCUUGCCCCAGAAAAAUCAGAAGCAUUUACAGUGCACAAAUAUACUAAGAGCCUUGCCAAGCCUCCAGAGAUGAACAGUAUAUGCCCUAGAUCUUCAAGGAGAUGCUGAACUCACUGGUACCACAGAGGAUGAGGGAAAAGAAAGAGUCCAAGGGAACAGAGAGAAAGACGAAUGUAAAAAUGUGCACUUAACAACUUCCAAAUUCUGAGACAACUGCCUUCACAGUUUCAACUGGAAAUACACCUUUACUAGUCCAGCAAUCUUCAAGGACUGGGCCAAGGAGAAAGAGCUCCUGGGAAUCACAAUUUUGCUGCUCAUCCUUUAAGAAACCCCAGUUUAAGUGGAAGUUAAUACAGAGAUUUCUCAGUCACAGAGUCAGCUUUUAAUAUGUGCAAAGUCUGUGUUGGUUUGGAAAACUUUGCCCUUGUAUCAAUAGCAGCUUUUGUAACCAACUUCAAUGGCUCUCUACAUUCUUGUCUUUAAGCAGUAAAUUGGAAAUAAAUGAUAAUACACUGGUUUUAAAGACAAAGAAACAUAAAUCAUGCUACUCAAUCUCUAUCAGUUCAUGCAAUCUUUUGGGAAUUUUUGUUUAGAUUUGAAAUUUUUGUGAGUCAGAGGACUGCCUUUAAUUUCCAUGUGAAAUGUAUUUACUUUGUUUCACGAUUAUUACUAAAAAUAAUUUUUCAAUGGAGAGAUAAGAUGAUAAGGUGUUCAACUUGUCUUAAUGUAGAUGUAGUUUUAUAUUUACUGAACAAAACAUAGAAAUAAACCUCAAAAUCAUCAACUAACAUUACUUACAGGAAGAUAACAAAAUCUAAUGCCCUAUACCAUAAAAUCUACUACGUUCAGAAUCUAAUACAAAAGACAUGGUAAUUACAAUCCUUGCCACCAAAAAUAUCAGAACCAGAUGAGUUCACAGCUGAAUUCUAACAAUCCUGUUAGGAAGAAAUCAUACCCGUCCUUCACAAAUUCUUCAGCAAAAAGGCCUGUUUUAUGCCAGCAUAUAUUGGCAGAAAAAACAAAGACUAUAUAAGAAAAAGAAACCAAAAUCCAAUAUUUUUCAUAAAAAUCAUCACAUAAUCCUUAACAAAAUAGUAGAAAAUCAAGCCCAGCAAUAUAUUAGAUUAGUAGGCUAUAAAAAAUAAUUAUAUAUGACCUGUCUAUAUAUAUACAUGUAC